rnacentral:lncRNA from 1 species
UAGAGGCCAGUUCUCCUCUUCAGCGGCCGAGCUCGCUCCUGCCCAAGUGUUUUUCGGGUGCGGCAACCAUGCGCGCGGCCAGCCGCCGCGAGAUCCACCCUGGCCAGCGAGCCACCAUCGCUCGGAGUCUCUGCGCUCCGCGUUUCGCGUAGAAGAAACCACCGUGUGCGUUUUCAGCCAAGGAAGAAAGUAGAAAUGACGUGGGGUCCACUCUACAUGGCCGCAUGCACGCAAAUCCCACCACCGUACACACAUCGUGCAACAACCGCAUGCAUGAGCCCCUUGCAUGUGAUGCAAACGACACCUCCGUAUGUGCUUGCAAAUUGCCUGGCCCCACCCACAUGCAUCCACGAGAUCCUAGAAACCAGCCCUCACAAUGGAUCCCACAUCUUCUAUGACCGUUUUUCAUGUGGUCCAUCGUAUGGUUAGCCUUCCACCAAUAGAAUCGUGCCACGUAGUCUAAAUUCAAGAAACACUAGUUAUUCAAUAUAUAUGUUGCGCUGCGAGUCCGUCUCGACUCGUUUCAGUCGUAGCAACUUCGUAAUAACCUCAACUACAUGUUAGUAAUAUUAUUUGGUCGUAACGCAUGUUUUCGUUAAUUAGGUAGUUAAACUGAGGUUUAUUUGAACUUAAAAUUAAGGUAUAGUUUUAAAUGGUGAUUUUAUAGAUGCAAAUUAAUGUGGUUAAUGCCGACUCAGAUGUUUUCAACUAAUAUUUGUUUAAUGUAAAUGUAACGUCUGUUUAGCUUUUCUCGCGUAUCGCGCGUGUCGUUCGCGCGUGUCGUGCGUGCUGUUUCACACGUGUUGUCCGCACGUAUCGCGUGUGAGGAUCGUGCGUGUUCGCACGUCGUCGCGCAUUGUUCGCGCACUAUCGCUUUGCUCGCACGUUGCCGCGCGAGUGUUCGCGUGUCAUUCGCGCGCUGUUUGCGCGUCGUUGUCACUUCCUUCGCGCGUUCGUGUCGCACGUCUAGUUCGUGUGUCGCGCGGCGUCUGCGCGUAAUAAAUUGUUGUCACUUGUAAACGCUCAUGUUAAUAACGUUAAUUCGUCAGGUCACAUAUUUUGGAUAAUUAACUUAAAGUCUGCUCGACUAAUAUGUAUUAGAUUAAUAUUCUAAUUAGAUUAAAUAUGUAGUGUUCAACUCGUGCUUGUAGAAUAAACAUUAACAUGGAUAAUAUUAACUUAACUACUUAUUAAAUAAUUAUUUAGUAUAAACGCGUCACGUAUUUAGUCUUUCUCGCCUGUUGCACGAGUUGUUCCGCACGUGGUGUCGUGCUGAUUCGCGCGUCGUUCGCGCUGGUCGCACACACUGUUUCGUGUGUCGUCAGUGUGCUAUGGCGCACGUGUCCGCGUGUCGUUCGCACGCUGCCGUGAUGUUUCGCUCAUCGUAAAUUCGCCUCGCUUAGAAUCUCUCGUUUUAAUUAAAUUAUUGGUUUAAUUGAUAGCUGCUAGUGUAGCAGGUUAAGCGAAACUAAAUAUUAGAUAUAACUUAUAUUGGGUAAUAUCGAAUUAAAUGUUAUAAUUGAUAUUGAUUUAGCGUAAACACGAUAUCUUCCCGACCGUAGCUUCGAGUUCGAUAAUUCUUUUUUCCUCGCGUGACCGUAGUAACGCACUCUAUUUCGUUUUGCAUAUUUUAUUAUGUUCUUAUUUUAAUGGUGUAAUGUUCUUAUGCAUAUAUAUAUAUGUUUGUUUGUACCUGUUUGUAUUCGUUGUGCGUCGCGAAUAGAUUGCGAUCCGUUUCUGAGCUUUGAGGGAUCAAAGAUCAAGAGUUGGCGACCAAGUGAUCUGGUUCUUCGAGUUCUACGAGAUUCAAGACCCUGAGCAUCUGUUUGGUGAAGACAAGUGUCCUCUGACCCAUUAUGUCUCAUUUACUUUAUAAUACACUGUCCCGCAUACUAUGAACAACCUAAGGAUUUACUAGCUUUCUAUUUACCUUGUCCUUGAUUUACCUUUUGGGUUAGUAUGGUUAGCUACAUGCUAGCGCUUUACUUUAAUCAAUGAACAUGAUGAGAUACAAUGAUGAUACUAUGAUUUUAUUCUGGAUAUGAUGAUAUACUUGUGGCAUUUAAGGGGACUAAGGCUGUUUCCCGAGUACCUCUCCGUAAGGACCUGUUCGUUGAGAGACCACCUGGGAUAACAGUGCAAUCAUGAGGGUGAAAUGGGAUGCCCUUAGCUAAUUAAUUAGAGGAACUAGAGGUGUAGUUGCUUCGCCGUCGUGCCGUCAAUGGGGUCCAGGCACAGUGCUUGCUCUACCGAGGCUGAGUGCCGAGGUUCUUUCGUUUUGCUUUUGUUAGUCACCCUCCUGCGGGGAGAGGUACUGUGUUUAUCAAACUGGAGAAACCUAACGGGCGGCUAUGACCUCUAGUGAAUCUUUGUAAAAGCUACGUAGUGAUACCCUGCCGGACCACCUAGGAAGUGAUCAAUGGGGAGUCAUGAUCCCCGGGCAAAACGGGAAUCACGGCUCAUGGGUAAAGUGUGCGACCUCUGCAGAGGAUUAGAAACUGAUAUAUCAGUCGUGCUCACGGUUAUGAGCGGCCUUGGGAUCCUCUUUGAUUAGAGAUACAUAUGAUCGAGAUACAAUGGUUCUAUUUAUGGUUUUGGUCCGAUGAUGAUAAUGAUGCUUCCUCGAUGAGGAAAUGGUUCACGGGUUGGUUAUGUGAUAAAACUUGGCUUCCACUAAUAAUAAACACCUGGCCAACUAAAAGCAACUGCUUGAGCUUAACUCCACAUAAAGCUAGUCCACCUCAGCCAAACAGGACAUUUGCUGAGUACGUUGAUGUGUACUCACCCUUGCUUUCACAAAACACCAGGAUGCCUUUGGUGCAAUCUAUGCACAGGUAAAGAAGAAGGCGUCGAGGCGGUUCUCCAGGAGUUCCAGGACUUCGACGAGUUCGAGGAUUAGGCUAGCGACCUCCCCCAGUCAGCUGCCUGUGGUGGGUUUAUUUACAUUGGCUACGUUUCGAUUCUGUGUACUUUGAUUCAUAUUAUGUAAAUGACUCUAGUCUUUAAUAUCAUUAUUUAUUCUUUAUUGUUAUUCGAAGCAUUGUGCUAUGAUGAGUCAUUUAUGUAAUCGCUGUGUACGUGAAUUUCUGAUCCUGGCACGUACAUGGUUCGCAUUCGGUUUACCUUCCAAAACCGGGUGUGACAUAAGUGGUAUCAAAGCCAGGCUGACUAUAGGACCGCUGACCUAGAGUAACAUUGACCGUUUUAAGGACUUAUUGACUUUUACUUCACCCCAUCCUUGAUGCUGCUUCAAAAUAUUAGUCACCUCGACUAAUUCUAUGUUAUGCUUCUAUAUAUCACCUUGCCAAAUGUAUUUUGUUCUAAUAUUGUCUAUGCUUCACCUAUUCAUUCUAUUAGAUCUGAUCUCACUCUUGUGCUUGCGACAUCUUUGUAGAUGCCCCCUGAUCAUAACCUUCUUGUCUUUUGGGAUUCUUUUUGUCUUCCAUUAUUAAAUUGCUACCAUUUGACCAUAUCUAUUCCAUUGGUAUUGACUUGCUGCAUCUUUUGGAUUCUUCCAUACCCUUAUCCCUUAAUUCAAAUACUUAACCCUGAAAACUCUGUUGCCCAUAUAAACAUUCUAGUUUAUAUUUUCAUGCCCUUCCUGUCUUUUGAGAUCCCUUUCUAUUCUGUUGUUAAGUCAUUAUCUUUCGAUAAUUUCUAUGCCCUUGGUCUUAGUAUGCUCGUAUCCUUGGAGUCUUACAUACUCUUAUAUUCUUAUGUAUGCUUAUUUUCAUACCCCAAUAACUGUUCAAGACAUUUCAGUUAACAUGUCCUUGACCACCCCUGUUUCUUAACGGUCCAUGAGCGAUCAUUUUAUGUUGCCCAUCCUUGGUGAUCUCAUUGUUCCUUUAUAACUUCUCUCGAUAAUGAAUUCUUACUUCAACCAUUCUAUUGCACCCUCACCUAUCUUACCUUGAUUAUUUUGUCCACUUCGCCAUUUCGCGAGUCUUGCCUUAACUCUAUCCUUUGUUAUGCCUUUCAUUAUUAUCACAUUCAUCUUUGACACCUCUAUACCUUACCUUGAUGCCUAUCUUAUACCUGCGCUCCAAAACCUUCUCUCUUUCGUCACAAUUUUAAACAUUGAAGGUUACCUAUUUUCCCUCAGUUUGUAUCCUAUUCCUUGUCGCUUGCGAGUUUUUAACUCCAUCCUUUGUUAUCUGUUACUACCUUUACCUUCGCCGUCUCUCCAUCUUACCUUGAUGACUAUCUUAUGUCUGUUAUUUAAAGUUCCCUCUCUCAUCUCAAUUCGAGGGAAGUGUUUUACUUAUCCUGCCCUUGGUCGGAACCUCGUCUUCGCUAGGUGUGAGUCUUAUCUUAACUCCAUUCUUUGUUGUACUCAUACCACUGGCUCUUUUAUGCCUUCAUCUUUUCUCAUAUACCCUUGUCUGUUAUCGCCUUUGACCCUUGCGAUAUCUAUGUCUUCUACCUAAAUGCUUACCUCGAGCUUAUCUUUUAAAAGCCUCCCCUUUCCUUCAGCCCAGUUUGAGAGUUGUGGGUUACCUAUCUCUCCCUUGAUUUCUUUUCACUUCUUGUCGCCUUACGAGUUUUGCCUUAAUUCCAUCCUUUGCUAUGUGUUUUAUUUGCUAUCACCAUCUCCUUGUCAUCCAUCGAUCUUGCCUUGAUACUCAUCUUUAUGCUGGCUCUUUAAAAUCUCCUCUCUUCCACCUCAAUUGGAGAGUGGCAAUUUACCUAUCUGGCCCCUGGACGUACCCUCUCCUUUUCCAUUCGCAUGUCUUGUCUUAACUCCAUCCUUUGUGGUAUUUAUAUUCUUGGUUCUUAUGCACAUUUACCUCCUCUCCUACAUCCUUGCCCGUUAUCACCUUUAAACCCUCGUGGUACCUAUGCCCUUGCCCACAUGCUUAUCUUGAACCUACCCUUUAAAGCCACCUCUUUUUCAUCGCUGUCGGAGGAUAAUACCUCACCCACUUCACCAUUGAUUGCUUUCCCUUCUUUGAUGCCUCACAGGUUUUUUUUCUAUAUACAUCAUUUGUUGUGUGUUUGUCCGUUAUCACCUUAACCCAUGUCAUCCUUCGAUCAUUACUUUGAUGCUUGUCAUGUACCUGCAUUUUAAAGCCGCCUCCCCCAUUUCAUUUCAAGAGUGUUGUCAUACCCCUCCCCGCUCUUGUUCGUUCCCUAUUCCUAUGUCGCGUUGCAAGUCUUAGCUUUUGUUUGAUGUCGCCCUUACCUUCCUAAUAUCUAGAUCUUUCCAUGAUGCUUCUCCUAUGCCUACCUUUUGAAACAUCACCUUUCCCAUCUCGAUUUGAGAAUGGUGUUUACCUACCCUGCCCUUGGUUGCAUUUUCUCCCUUGUAACUAUGAUCCUUGCUUUAGCUCCAUCCUUUAUUAUGCUCAUGCCCCUCCAUGUCUUAUUAUUCCCCUUGCCUUUUAUUGGCCUUAGAGUAGUUUCCCUUUUUAAGGAAAGACCACCAUUUAAUUAAAAGUUACGUAUAGCAAUGAGAUGUUUGUUGUUGUAUGCUUGUGCUGUUUGUCUUUGUGUUAUGACUGAUUUGCUUCUUUGUGAUGAGUGUUGGUGUGUUGUGGCCCUGGGUCCGCAAUGACAUCAGUUUACCAGGUAAGUGCCAUAUAGUUAAUUAGUUGGGUUCUCCCCCUACUCUCUCUAAUCCGUCUAUACUUACCUUUUCUCGCUACCCUUUCCUCUUGCACCUGUCCGGUCGGCAUCCUCCAACUCCUUCAAAUCAGUCAAGAUCAGAGUCGGUAGCAUCUUCAUCAAGUGUGUAUCAACGCUCCUGUUAAGGGGGUUAGCCGCUAACCCCAAUGAAGACAAUGUGAUCCACGUCAACCAACAAGAUCAGAGUGGCGCAACGAAAGCGUGUGUGGGUCCAACCCACAGGUCAAAGAGAUCUUCAUGAAUUGCAUCAAUCGGUCUCAAGCACCUGAAGGUCAAAGCAACCAGUCCGCAAGUUAAAGCUGACAGAGUCAAAGCUGGGUUAGAAGAAGCUAUGAAACACUAAUAAACCAAUCUCAUUUUCUUGCUAGCCUCUUCUUGAAUCUCGAGGACGAGAUUCUGUUAAGGGGGUUUGAUCUGUAACACCCUGAUUUUAGGGGUAUAAAAUUUCUUUUUAAAUAUCCACCAAAUUCAGGUGUUACUCUCUCAGCUCUUCGCUCUUCUUCUCUUUUUCCUAAAAGUGGAGAAUUAUUUUGUUUUAUAUAGGCAUUAACUUAGUGAAAUAAAAGCCUAGCUAGAGAAGCUUUGAUUGUUGUAUUCAUGUCGUUGCAUAUUGUUUAUGGGUGUAAAAGGUUUUUGAAACAUAAAAAGAUUAUCUCGACAGUGUUUUUAGGGAUUGCUGGGACUUUCGAAAUGUUUCUCCGAGUAUUAAAAUAUGAAUUUUUAGUCUUUCUAAUAUUAAUUAAAUACCAAAAAUGUAGUAGUUGCAAAAACUAUAAGUUUUUUUGGAAACUCGAUAAUAUGUAUAUAUAUUUCUCUUCCUCUCGUCGAUCCGUUCCCGAUCUCGUGCUCUUUUUCAUGAGAUCAUCGAACUGCUUCUUCUCGCGAACGGCAUGCUGCUCGCGUCAUCGACAUAAUCCUUGUCUAUCCCCGUCUACCCCUUCGCCUUCCACCCGUCAUCUCGGAUCCGCGAGCCAGCUCUAACCAUUUUCGUCUAAUUUUAUCUAACCCUUUCUACCAUCCGUCUGACUCAGCCUCCGUCGUACACUGUAUCGCGCAACUCGUCGCGUGACCAUCUUUUUUCGCUCGGCCAUGACGCGGCAUGCGACAAAUUUUACAACCGUCUUCCACAUCCUCUCUCUUCUAUAAAUACAUCCCUAGCCGUCAGAAAGCUCCUCGUCUCACCCCAGAUCCAUGAAGGGCAGCGGUUACCAGGUACGCAGGACCCUCUCCUUCUCCCUCUCUUCCUCGUAGACCCCUAAGCUCGCGGUAGCGACGACCUGCGCGCGCAGAUUAGGCCACCAGCAUGCGCGGCACCUCCGUCAUGCUCCUCAUCGCGACGCGUUACCUUCCUAGAGCCGAGCGCGUGUGAAUCCUGGCCGGAACCCCCGCUCGACUUCUUGACCAGGACGCGAAAACACCUCCAGGCAAACGACCGCGUCGCGGCAAGGCAAGGCGAUGCCCCUGCGCGUGCUAUAGCUUGGCCGGCCAGGAGGCCAUGGCGCGCGGCCAGCCCGGCGUUCCUACAAGCAGCACAGCACCCUGUGACCCGCCCUGACGCGGCCAUGGCUAGAGGCCAGUUCUCCUCUUCAGCGGCCGAGCUCGCUCCUGCCCAGGUGUUUUUCGGGUGCGGCAACCAUGCGCGCGGCCAGCCGCCGCGAGAUCCACCCCUGCCAGCGAGCCACCAUCGCUCGGAGUCUCUGCGCGUCCACGUUUCGCGUAGAAGAAACCACCGUGUGCGUUUUCAGCCAAGGAAGAAAGUAGAAAUGAUGUGGGGUCCACUCUGCAUGGCCGCAUGCACGCAAAUCCCACCACCGUACACACAUCGUGCAACAACCGCAUGUGUGAGCCCCUUGCAUGCGAUGCAAACGACACCUCCGUAUGUGCUUGCAAAUUGCCUGGCCCCACCCACAUGCAUCCACGAGAUCCUAGAAACCAG